rnacentral:rRNA from 1 species
AGACCGAUAGCGAACAAGUAGAGUGAUCGAAAGAUGAAAAGCACUUUGAAAAGAGAGUUAAACAGCACGUGAAAUUGUUGAAAGGGAAGCGCUUGCAACCAGACUCGCUCGCGGGGUUCAGCCGGGCUUCGGCCCGGUGUACUUCCCCGCGGGCGGGCCAGCGUCGGUUUGGGCGGCCGGUCAAAGGCCUCCGGAAUGUAGCGCCCUUCGGGGCGCCUUAUAGCCGGGGGUGCAAUGCGCCCAGCCUGGACCGAGGAACG